AUUGAACGCUGGCGGCAGGCCUAACACAUGCAAGUCGAACGAGUGGCGGACGGGUGAGUAAUGUCUGGGAAACUGCCCGAUGGAGGGGGAUAACUACUGGAAACGGUAGCUAAUACCGCAUACCAUCGGAUGUGCCCAGAUGGGAUUAGCUAGUAGGUGGGGUAAUGGCUCACCUAGGCGACGAUCCCUAGCUGGUCUGAGAGGAUGACCAGCCACACUGGAACUGAGACACGGUCCAGACUCCUACGGGAGGCAGCAAUGGGGAAUAUUGCACAAUGGGCUGAAGCCUGAUGCAGCCAUGCCGGGGGUAUGAAGAAGGCAUUCGGGUUGUAAAGUACUUUCAGAGAGGAGGCGUUACUCGCAGAAGAAGCACGGGCUAACUCCGUGCCAGCCGCCGCGGUAAUAC
rnacentral:rRNA from 1 species